rnacentral:tRNA from 1 species
GGGAUAUUAGCUCAGGGGGAGAGUGCUUGAUUCACAUUCAAGAGGUCACUGGUUCGAAACCAGUAUAUCCCA